AAGGGGAGCAAUCCCUGAGUAAAGUGGCGACCGGGUGAGUAACACGUGACUAACCUACCCUCGAGUGUGGAAUAACAUCGGGAAACCGAUGCUAAUACCGCAUAACAUCGCAAGAUCAAAGGAGCAAUCCGCUUGAGGAGGGGGUCGCGGCUGAUUAGCUAGUUGGCGGGGUAACGGCCCACCAAGGCGAAGAUCGGUAGCCGGCCUGAGAGGGCGCACGGCCACACUGGAACUGAAACACGGUCCAGACUCCUACGGGAGGCAGCAGUGGGGAAUUUUGCGCAAUGGGGGAAACCCUGACGCAGCAACGCCGCGUGGAGGAUGAAGCCCCUUGGG
rnacentral:rRNA from 1 species